GAUGAACGCUGGCGGCGUGCCUAAUACAUGCAAGUCGAGCGAACUUUUGGGAGCUUGCUCCCAAAAGUUAGCGGCGGACGGGUGAGUAACACGUGGGUAACCUGCCUGUAAGACUGGGAUAACUUCGGGAAACCGGAGCUAAUAUCGGAUAACAUUGAAUACAACAUGGCCUUCAAUUAAAAGGUGGCUUUUAGCUACCACUUACAGAUGGACCCGCGGCGCAUUAGCUAGUUGGUGAGGUAACGGCUUACCAAGGCGACGAUGCGUAGCCGACCUGAGAGGGGGAUCCGCCAAACUGGGAACGAGACACGGCCCCGACUCCUACGGGAGGCAGCAGUAGGGAAUCUUCCGCAAUGGACGAAAGUCUGACGGGGCAACGCCGCGUGAGCGAAGAAGGCCUUCGGGUCGUAAAGCUCUGUUGUUAGGGAAGAACAAGUAUCGUUCGAAUAGGGCGGUACCUUGACGGUACCUAACCAGAAAGCCACGGCUAACUACGUG
rnacentral:rRNA from 1 species